rnacentral:rRNA from 1 species
ACACGACUACAUUAGAUACCCGUGUAGUCCUGGCCGUAAACGAUGUGGACUUGGUGUUGGAAUGGCUCCGAGCUGCUCCAGUGCCGAAGGGAAGCUGUUAAGUCCACCGCCUGGGAAGUACGGUCGCAAGACUGAAACUUGAAGGAAUUGGCGGGGGAGCACCACAACGGGUGGAGCCUGCGGUUUAAUUGGACUCAACGCCGGGAAGCUCACCGGAUAAGACAGCGGAAUGAUUGCCGGGCUGAAGACCCUGCAUGACCAGCUG